rnacentral:lncRNA from 1 species
AAAAAUUAAAAUGAAUUGUGUCAAACUAAGAGGGCUUGAAUGAAAAUAAAGAAAAUACCAUGAAACAUGCGAGCCUCAACGAAACACGUUGCAUACUUAUCUAUUCACACAUCUAGAAGGCAUAACCUUUCCUACGAAUAGAAUCCAAUCUCAUUCGUCCGAUUAUUCCGCCCUACCCCAACACCGAAGUCAACGUUUCACGCGUAUCCCACCGUCAAAAUAUCUGCCGACCUUUCAUUUAUAGCCGUAGGAUCAUCCCACCCCCUCAAUAAAUAACGAUCUUAUCUCUUUGUUCUGUUAUAUUGUUCUCUUAUCAUUUCUUCAGCUAUUUGUCGGUCGGCGUUUAAUCCAGAUCUAUUCGUGGUCGUUUGUUUUCUUACAUUUCUGUAUUAAUAUACUCGUAGAUCCAAAAAAGGUCUACGUUAUGAGUAUGGCUUCGAUAGCUAUNNNNN